GGCGCGGCGAGGGGAGGGCACGCCAGCUCGGCACACGGCGAAGGCCAAAUGGAGAAUGUCAAGGUGAAAGAGGACCCGGAACUGAGGAUGAAGCCUAGCUCGGUCAUCACCACCGACCAGCACCGGCACAGGAGCAGAGCUUGGAGCAGCAGCACGGCAGAUUGAAUCUGCUCGCUGAGGAUGAACAUUUUGCGGGCCUUCGGUCGGCAUUGAU